CCUACGGGUGGCAGCAGUGAGGAAUAUUGGUCAAUGGACGAGAGUCUGAACCAGCCAAGUAGCGUUAAGGAUGACUGCCCUAUGGGUUGUAAACUUCUUUUAUAUGGGAAUAAAAUGUUCCACGUGUGGGAUUUUGUAUGUACCAUAUGAAUAAGGAUCGGCUAACUCCGUGCCAGCAGCCGCGGUAAUACGGAGGAUCCGAGCGUUAUCCGGAUUUAUUGGGUUUAAAGGGAGCGUAGGUGGAUUGUUAAGUCAGUUGUGAAAGUUUGCGGCUCAACCGUAAAAUUGCAGUUGAAACUGGCAGUCUUGAGUACAGUAGAGGUGGGCGGAAUUCGUGGUGUAGCGGUGAAAUGCUUAGAUAUCACGAAGAACUUCGAUUGCGAAGGCAGUUCACUGGACUGCAACUGACACUGAGGCUCGAAAGUGUGGGUAUCAAACAGGAUUAGAUACCCGGGUAGUC
rnacentral:rRNA from 1 species